rnacentral:rRNA from 1 species
GCUUACGGCCAUACCACCCUGAGCACGCCCGAUCUCGUUUGAUCUCGGAAGCUAAGCAGUGUCGGGCCUGGUUAGUACUUGGAUGGGAGACCACCUAGGAAUACCAGGUGCUGUAAGCU